rnacentral:rRNA from 1 species
AGUCGAGGGGUAUAGGAAGCUUGCUUCCUAGAGACCGGCGCACGGGUGCGUAACGCGUAUGCAAUCUACCUUUUGCAGAGGGAUAGCCCAGAGAAAUUUGGAUUAAUACCUCAUAGUAUAGCAGUUUCGCAUGAAACCACUAUUAAAGUCACAACGGCAAAAGAUGAGCAUGCGUCCCAUUAGCUUGUUGGUAAGGUAACGGCUUACCAAGGCAACGAUGGGUAGGGGUCCUGAGAGGGAGAUCCCCCACACUGGUACUGAGACACGGACCAGACUCCUACGGGAGGCAGCAGUGAGGAAUAUUGGACAAUGGGCGCAAGCCUGAUCCAGCCAUGCCGCGUGCAGGAUGACGGUCCUAUGGAUUGUAAACUGCUUUUGUACAGGAAGAAACACUGGUUCGUGAACCAGCUUGACGGUACUGUAAGAAUAAGGAUCGGCUAACUCCGUGCCAGCAGCCGCGGUAAUACGGAGGAUCCAAGCGUUAUCCGGAAUCAUUGGGUUUAAAGGGUCCGUAGGCGGUUUAGUAAGUCAGUGGUGAAAGCCCAUCGCUCAACGGUGGAACGGCCAUUGAUACUGCUAGACUUGAAUUAUUAGGAAGUAACUAGAAUAUGUAGUGUAGCGGUGAAAUGCUUAGAGAUUACAUGGAAUACCAAUUGCGAAGGCAGGUUACUACUAAUGGAUUGACGCUGAUGGACGAAAGCGUGGGUAGCGAACAGGAUUAGAUACCCUGGUAGUCCACGCCGUAAACGAUGGAUACUAGCUGUUGGGCGCAAGUUCAGUGGCUAAGCGAAAGUGAUAAGUAUCCCAC